UACGUAGGGGGCAAGCGUUGUUCGGAAUUACUGGGCGUAAAGGGCGCGUAGGCGGCACGGCAAGUCGGGAGUGAAAGCCCGGGGCUCAACCCCGGAGGGUCUCUCGAAACUGCCGAGCUAGAGUGCGGAAGAGGCAACCGGAAUUCCCAGUGUAGCGGUGAAAUGCGUAGAUAUUGGGAGGAACACCGGAGGCGAAGGCGGGUUGCUGGGCCGACACUGACGCUGAGGCGCGAAAGCCAGGGGAGCAAACGGG
rnacentral:rRNA from 1 species